rnacentral:rRNA from 1 species
UCGAAGGUAGCAUAAUCAGUAGUCUUUUAAUUGAAGGCUGGUAUGAAUGGUUGGACAAAUAUUAACUGUUUCAUAAAUAUUUUUAUUAAAAUUUUAUUUUUUAGUCAAAAAGCUAAAAUAAAUUUAAAAGACAAGAAGACCCUAUAAAUCUUUAUAAUUUAACUAUUAAAAAUUUAUAGAAUUAUUUUAUUAUAAUAGUGAGUAUUAUUUUAUUGGGGUGAUAUUAAAAUUUAAUUAACUUUUAAUUUUAAAUUUCAUUAAUUUAUGAGUGAUUGAUCCAUUAUUAAUGAUUAAUAAAAUAAGUUACUUUAGGGAUAACAGCGUAAUUUUUUUGGAGAGUUCAUAUCAAUAAAAAAGAUUGCGACCUCGAUGUUGGAUUAA